CGUGAUUCUUCUGACUGAUACUUUGUUCAUUUCGUUGUUUUCCCGCUUUAUUUUAGUGUGAAAUCUUAACAAUAUUGUUUUGCGUUCCUCUCGCCACUAGUUUUGUGGAUUAUAAAAUGCCGUUUACUUGUUGUGUACAGAAAAUUAUAAACUGGGCCUAAAAUUUCAGUUUUUAAUUUCCCAAAAGAUGGGAAUCUGCGAAAACGGUGGAUUGCAGCCAUUCACAGAAAGGAUUUUGAACCCAGCAAAAACAGCAAGAUGUGUGAGCUGCAUUUUGUAGAUGAUUUUGUCAAAAAAGCUUAUGGGUUGACACAAAAACAGGUAAAGUGCUUUCCGUAUAAUUUUUUGUGGAUAUGCAAAUUAUUGUCAUGUUCCUAAGAUCCAGAGAGAUUGUCCUGAAGAAAAAGAGCAAUCUGCUCUCAUUCAGGCUAUUGAGGACAGUAUUAGAGAAAAUGAAAUAUAUGUAAAGUCCAGGUCAUUUGGCUCUUUGAAAGAAUUUCGUUUGAAGUUCUUACCAGCCAUCUCAGAAGAAUUAUCUUGCAAGAGAUGCCAUAUAAAUAAAUGGGGUAAUAAGCUGGUUGCAGAUUGCUUUCUUGAUGCAUUUCAGUUGAUAUAGCAUCUAAAAAGAUUGAAAAGACUUGAUUCAGUUUCCUUUAUUGUCGUCUUUACCUACAGCAUUUGUUUCUUCUGCUUGGCCAAAGCAAGAAUCUGCUAGGCCAGUUUCCCAGCCAAAGCAAGAGACUGCAAGGUCGAUUUCUACACCCAUGCAACAGUCAGCUACUCUGCUCACAAAAGAUAUUUCUUUUCUGCCGUCUUCUACAAGUUAUAUUCAAUUUGGACUUCCUGUGAUGCCAUGCAUUCCAUUCUAUCAGUUUAAUGAAAAUGUAUUUAGUAGUAUUACUAAAAGAUUUUGAAAAUAAAGUCUCAACUUUCAAUAGUAAAUAUUGAAAUGAAUGCCAAAAUUUUAUUGAUUAUCUUGUAAAAAAUUAUUCUGCUAGAAAAGCAUUAUGGGCUACCUGCUAUAGACAGUUUCCACAUGGUGACACCAAUACAAAUAAUUACAGUGAAUUGUUUCAUAAUCAGUUAAAAACUUUUUAUUUUGAGCGUAAAUUCAAUAGACGCAUAGAUGAGCUAAUUUCAACUCUUUUAAAGAUGGAAACAGAUAUGCUUUUAAAGUAUUCUUCUAAUGCUGUAAAUAAUGUUCCAUUAAAAACAGAUAUUUGUCUUUUAUUAGAUCAUUGCUGUUUUAAAUAUGCUGAUAUUAAUUGUGCAGUAUUAUGUAGUCAUUUGUAUGUGUGUUCUUGUGAAGACAAUAGUAACCUUUGCAAGCAUAUUCAUAAAGUAUAUUUAUUGUAUUCUGAAAUAAAAAAAUGCAUAAUAUAUGAUUUUUAUGCCAUUGAAAAUGAAAGAAAUGCACAAGCAAUUGACGCCCAAAUCUUAAAUUUGGAAUUGAAAGAUAAUAUUUCGUCUGAAUGUUUUAACACAAAAGAAGCUGAAUGCAAAAAAUUAUGCUCUGAGAUUUUGGAAUUAAUUAAAAUUCCUCGUAUUCAAGAAACUAUGCUAAUUGAUGUAGUAAAUUGUUUAAAUACUUCAGUAUCUGGUAUACGUGAGUUUUCAGUAGUAAAAUGAUCCUGCCUCAGGUGUAUGUUGCUCCCAACAUACCUCAGGUGUUUGUUGCUCCCAAUCAAAAAAAUUCCCUGCAGGUUAAAUUUUUUAAAACUUCUCAAAGACAUAAGAGGAAACAAUCAUUUCUUGAAAAAAGUGGGAAAUGGCAAAGAUUAAAUUUUAAAAAAUAUUGAUGAACCUGAUAGUAUUAUAGAGCAGAUUACAUCUUUACAAUCUUAUCCUGCAGGAGAAAUUUCUAAAUGUUUUAGUCAUGAUGACAAAAGUAGUGAUGAUCCUGAUGGUCAUAAAAAGGAAAUUACUGUUUUAAAAUCUUAUUCUGCUGGAGAAAAUUCUGUAUGUACUAGCCUUAAUAUAUUUAAUAAGAUGAAUGCAGGUAAUCCUACUGCAACAAUAAUAUCUAUUAAUAAUAUCAAUCUUUCUUUUUAUAUAUUAAAAUCUUUCGAUCCUUUUGUUACUCUGGAAGAAGAUAAUUAUCUAAUGUCUGUGCAUCAAGCUUUAAAAAAGGUUGGCUAUAUGAUUCUGUUAUUGACGCUUUUCUUUUCUUAUUAACUGAGAAAUUCAGAAAUUGUAAAGCAAUAGAAUCCUUGCACUCAAUUUUAAUUUUUAAUCAAAAAGAUAUUCUUAAAUUUUCUUGGAUUCAAGAAUUGCCAAAUCUAGAUUUAUUAAUUAUCCCUGUCAAUUUUUAAGUCUUAUUGUGAAAAUUUUAAUUAACAUUUUGAUAUUAAUUUAAAAAUAAAUUUGAUUAAUUGUUAAUCUUACUUAAUGGGAAUUAUCCCUUAUUUCUUCUAAAUUUAAAUACCAUAAACAAAUAAUUCCCAAUGGUUAAUUUUAAAUGGUUGUCUAGAGAUUUCUAGCUUUCUCUACACUUAACUUUUAAGAAGUUCCUUUAUUAUUAGUUUCACAGAAAAUUUAAUGCAAGUUAUGACUGCUAUUCUCAGUGAGAAUAGAUAAUUUUGGAAAUGGAUGGAAGCAAUAUACUAUAAAACUUCAUGAUGGAAGCAAUAUACUAAAGAUGACUUUUAAUAUAAAUAUAUAUGAUUGUGUUACUUUAAAUUGUUCUUGUCUCAUUUUAAUGGGUUUAUUAAAUGUUGUUUGUCAUUUUGUGAAUGUAAUUUGAAUUAUAUGAAUAAAAACUGAU